rnacentral:lncRNA from 1 species
AGAAGAAGAAGGAUACCAUCAGUGAAUUUAUAAGUUUGGCUCGAUCAAAAAUUGAUGUUCCGGAGCAACUCCCCAAAGCAAUUGAAGAGAAGGCCAAACACGGGACUAGUGACCUUGUCCCCACUCAGCCAUCAGGCCUACCCAGUGGCCCAAGUGAAGCUGCCGUGGAAGAAGAAAGCCGGCCAUCGAUGGAUUUAUUUAAAGCCAUCUUUGCCAGUUCCUCGGAUGAGAAUUCCUCUUCUGAAGAAGAGAGUGAGGGAGAGGAGCCAGCUGCGACAGCCCUGGAAGGAGAGUCCAAAAACCCAAAGCUCUGCGACUCACCUGAGGUUCCAUUACCUGUUGCUCAAGAAACUGAAGCUACACCUGAGAUUUUUGAUACUAUAACUCCAACCUCAAAGGAAGUAGUUGAUCAAGGAGAAUUUGGACCAAGAUUGCCUCCUGUUGCUUAUUCUGGCACAGCUGAAGUGGUGGCAGAACAGAAGCCCCCAAAGAUCAAAGAAAAACACAAGAGAAAAGAACACAAACACAAAAAGGAAAAGGUAAUUUUGAUGUUCGUUUUUAACUUUUUCUCCCCCAAAUCCUUGUUGGGUUCUCCUAUAAAGCUUGUUUUCCCAUCAGAGAAGGAGUUACUCUCCAUUUUGCAUUCUCCCCCUCUUUGUUUAGAGUCACAUAUAUGAAAUGGGUGGCCAACUACCUUUGGAUAAUAAAUGAAUAAAAAUAUAUUAAACAUUACUUGAAAAGAGGUUGAGACUUUAGAAUCUUGGAGAGGCACUAUGGGAUGCAGGCAGCAUGUGAAACUACGCCGCCUCCGGUCCAUGGUAAAAAACCCUCUGCGUGGAACUGGUCCCUGGUGCUGAAAAAGGGCAGAGAAGGGCAGCAAAGAUGAUCAGGAGACUGGAGG